rnacentral:tRNA from 1 species
GCCUGGGUGGCUCAGUCAGUUAAGUCUCUGACUUUGGUUCAGGUCAUGAUCUCACAGUUCAUGGGUUCAAACCCCAUACCAGGCU